ACUUUUGGACUCAAGAAAUUUGUUAAAGUGUCCCUACCGAUUGUUGUUAGGAAAAAACACGUAAUUUUCUCAUUUACGACACAUUUUUCUAAAAACCGCAGAGUGGCGCCACUGCAGUAUUUGUUUGGUCGACAUACCACGUUGGUUGUCGUAAAGUGCGGUAUUUGAGUUAUAUUUUAGAAGAGCCUAGACAAAAUGUGCUCCUUGUCAUGUGCAGUAACCAUCGCAAACCCUCCGGACUCGUGUAACGCCGUUAGUUCGCCGUGUGUUUCGUGCGAUCUACCAGUGUCGACAGUGAGUGUCUUACUACAGCGCCCGUCCGAGCUGCCUUUGUUCUGCCGAGCUGCCUGCCCGCGCUCCCGUGAAAAGUCUGGUACUGGAGCUUCGAAUCGUAGUGUAUGGAAGGCUGUUGAAGGUUGUGCUUUUGUGGAGCUGGAGUUCAUCGGAAGUUCUACAGUGCUUGCGCCAGAAAGACGUCGGUGCCUCGGUACCUUUGAGACGAAGGAGCGUUGGCCAAGUCUUUUUGAAAGGCUAUGCGGAUUCUGGAGGCAUCCCUACAUCGAGCAGGAACCUGCUGCACUGCUGGAAGCUGGACAGCACGACAAUAAAGCACGUGAUCUGCGUGCUUUCUCAAAGGUAGACAUCGGCGACGGUGUAUAUGUUGAAAAGGGCCUGCUGAAGAGGCUGCGCCUGGAUGCUAACAACUCGGGCUUUCAGUUCGCGGGGGGCCUCCUUAAGGCUCCUUUUACAAAAGUAGAGGUUGAAGGGAGGCGCUACACAUGGAUGCGCAGCAAUUGUUUGUGACAGCGUCACUGCUGGCAGGCCUGGCCUGCCUUUUCGCUUCGUUCUGGGUCUUCCACGU